GACGAACGCUGGCGGCGUGCCUAAUACAUGCAAGUAGAACGCACAGUUUAUACCGUAGCUUGCUACACCAUAGACUGUGAGUUGCGAACGGGUGAGUAACGCGUAGGUAACCUGCCUGGUAGCGGGGGAUAACUAUUGGAAACGAUAGCUAAUACCGCAUAAUAUUAAUUAUUGCAUGAUAAUUAAUUGAAAGGUGCAAUUGCACCACUACCAGAUGGACCUGCGUUGUAUUAGCUAGUAGGUGAGGUAACGGCUCACCUAGGCGACGAUACAUAGCCGACCUGAGAGGGUGAUCGGCCACAAGGGGAAUGAGACACGGCACAGACUCCUACGGGAGGCAGAAGAAGGGAAUCUUCGGCAAUGGAAGAAAGUCUGACCGAGAAACGCCGCGGGGGUGAAGAAGGUUUUCGGAUCGUAAAGCUCUGUUGUAAGAGAAGAACGGGUGGGAGAGGGGAAAGUUCACACUGUGACGGUAUUUUACAAAAAAGGGACGGCUAACUACGG
rnacentral:rRNA from 1 species